AAUCUAUAUAUAUCUUAUAUUUUUUAUAAUUAUUUGACUAAAACUUUCAAAAUAACAUUAUAAAAACUUAUUGAAAUUUAAAAAAUUAAAAUAAGUAUGUGGUAAAACGUAUCAUUAGAAAGUCAUGCGUAUCUAUUACCAUGCAAUCAUGUCAUGUGUUAGUACGAAAGCGUGCUUGUAUCGUACCGUACCAGACAAACAGUGGUACGUCGUCGUGUCACGAUACUUUAAUCCUUAUUUCUAGGAGACUUUUUAGUGAUGAUUUACUUCGGUGGCUUGAGCAAUGAAAAGUUCCGGUCUUUCUUUUCAUAAUAGGGAGUAUCUGGAACAAAUCGGAAAAGAAAGUUCAGUUACUGUACAUUUUAGCUAAUUAGUGAUGAAGUAUUUAGAUGUUGAAUAUUCUGACUUCUGGAAACAGAUUUCUUUAGGGUCUGUAAAUAUAGGUGUGAAAUAGUUAGCCAUACUUAGUUGAAUUUUUUUUUUUUGAGAGAGAAAAAUAGCAUACUAUUUUGAAAAUAAACUUAGUUGAAAAUGUGAAUAAAUUAUAAUUCGAAUUUGGGAUCUCUGAUAUCAACCACCAAGCUAAAAUGAUAAGCGGAUUCUGUAUCUACUUGUA
rnacentral:lncRNA from 1 species